rnacentral:rRNA from 1 species
AGUGAACGCUGGCGGUAGGCCUAACACAUGCAAGUCGAACGGCAGCACAGUAAGAGCUUGCUCUUACGGGUGGCGAGUGGCGGACGGGUGAGGAAUACAUCGGCAUCUACUUUUUCGUGGGGGAUAACGUAGGGAAACUUACGCUAAUACCGCAUACGACCUACGGGUGAAAGCAGGGGAUCUUCGGACCUUGCGCGAUUGAAUGAGCCGAUGGCGGAUUAGCUAGUUGGCGGGGUAAAGGCCCACCAAGGCGACGAUCCGUAGCUGGUCUGAGAGGAUGAUCAGCCACACUGGAACUGAGACACGGUCCAGACUCCUACGGGAGGCAGCAGUGGGGAAUAUUGGACAAUGGGCGCAAGCCUGAUCCAGCCAUACCGCGUGGGUGAAGAAGGCCUUCGGGUUGUAAAGCCCUGUUGUUGGGAAAGAAAAGCAGCAGGUUAAUACCCCGCUGUUCUGACGGUACCCAAAGAAUAAGCACCGGCUAACUUCGUG